rnacentral:rRNA from 1 species
UGAGUAACCUGCCCCCGACUCUGGGAUAACCCCGGGAAACCGGAGCUAAUACCGGAUACGACCCACACAGGCAUCUACGUGGGUGGAAAGUUUUUCGGUUGGGGAUGGGCCCGCGGCCUAUCAGCUUGUUGGUGGGGUGAUGGCCUACCAAGGCGACGACGGGUAGCCGGCCUGAGAGGGUGUCCGGCCACACUGGGACUGAGAUACGGCCCAGACUCCUACGGGAGCAGCAG